rnacentral:lncRNA from 1 species
GAGAGUCAGGAGGUAGGAUGGGAGAGUCAGGAGGUACGACGGUAGAGUCAGGAGGUAGUAUCCUAGAGUCAGGAGGUAUUAUGGUAGAGUCAGGAGGUAGGAUGGUAGAGUCAGGAGGUAGGAUGGUAGAGUCAGGAGGAAGGAUGAUAGAGUCAGGAGGUAGGAUGGUAGAGUCAGGAGGUAGGAUAGUAGAGUCAGGAGGUAGGAUGAUAGAGUCAGAUUCUGAGAUGGUAGAGUCAUGAGGUAGUAUGAUAUAGUCAGGAGGUAGGAUGGUAGAGUCAGGUGGUAGGAUGGUAGAGUCAGGUGGUAGGAUGGUAGAGUCAGGUUGUGAGAUGGUAGAGUCAGGAGGUAGGAUGGUAAAGUCAGGAGGUAGGAUGGUAGAGUCAGGUGGUAGGAUGGUAGAGUCAGGUUGUGAGAUGGUAGAGUCAGGUUGUGAGAUGGUAGAGUCAGGAGGUAGGAUGGUAGAGUCAGGUUGUGAGAUGGUAGAUUCAGGAGGUAGGAUGGUAGAGUCAGGUUGUGAGAUGGUAGAGUCAGGAGGUAGGAUGGUAGAGUCAGGUGGUAGGAUGGUAGAGUCAGGUUGUGAGAUGGUAGAGUCAGGUUGUGAGAUGGUAGUGUCAGGUUCUGAGAUGGUAGAGUCAGGGAUAAGUAGCUGGUUCUAUCUCACUGUUUUUGAGAUGGGGUUUGUGUAGGGGUGAGG